rnacentral:rRNA from 1 species
UCCAAACCCUUUGUGAACAUACCUGUUUCGUUGCUUCGGCAGGCCCCGGGGUCACCCCCGGGCCCGCCGCCGGCCCCCUCUCCGGGGCGCAUGGCGGGCCUGCCGGAGGGCACAGACUCUGUAUUCAAGAACGUACCUCUCUGAGUUAUCUUUACAAACAAGUAAAAACUUUCAACAACGGAUCUCUUGGUUCUGGCAUCGAUGAAGAACGCAGCGAAAUGCGAUAAGUAAUGUGAAUUGCAGAAUUCAGUGAAUCAUCGAAUCUUUGAACGCACAUUGCGCCCGCUAGUAUUCUGGCGGGCAUGCCUGUCCGAGCGUCAUUUCAACCCUCAGGCCCUGGUUGCCUGGUGUUGGGGCGCCGCGUCCCCCAGCGGGCGCGGGCCCCGAAAGUCAGUGGCGGGCUCGCCAGGACUCCGAGCGCAGUAGUUUACACCUCGCUGCGGAGGACCUGGCGGGUUUCCCGGCCGUAAAACACCCCAAAUCUC